rnacentral:rRNA from 1 species
GUGGGGAAUAUUGCGCAAUGGGGGAAACCCUGACGCAGCGACGCCGUGUGAGGGAAGAAGGCUCUCGGGUCGUAAACCUCUGUCAGAAGGGAAGAACCUCCCGGGUCCGAACAGGCCCCGGGACUGACGGUACCUUCAAAGGAAGCGCCGGCUAACUCCGUGCCAGCAGCCGCGGUAAUACGGAGGGCGCAAGCGUUAAUCGGAAUCACUGGGCGUAAAGCGCGCGUAGGCCGCUUUUUAAGUCGGACGUGAAAGCCCUCGGCUCAACCGGGGAACUGCGUUGGAUACUGGGAGGCUUGAGUCCUGGAGAGGGUGGCGGAAUUCCGGGUGUAGGAGUGAAAUCCGUAGAUAUCCGGAGGAACACCGGUGGCGAAGGCGGCCACCUGGACAGGUACUGACGCUGAGGCGCGAAAGCGUGGGGAGCAAACAGGAUUAGAAACCCCAGUAGUCC